rnacentral:rRNA from 1 species
AACGAACGCUGGCGGCAGGCUUAACACAUGCAAGUCGAGCGCAUCCUUCGGGGUGAGCGGCGGACGGGUGAGUAACGCGUGGGAACGUGCCCUCUUCUACGGAAUAGCCUCGGGAAACUGAUAGUAAUGCCGUAUACGCCCGCAAUGGGAAAGAUUUAUCGUAGGAGGAUCGGCCCGCGUUGGAUUAGGUAGUUGGUGGGGUAACGGCCUACCAAGCCGACGAUCCAUAGCUGGUUUGAGAGGAUGAUCAGCCACACUGGGACUGAGACACGGCCCAGACUCCUACGGGAGGCAGCAGUGGGGAAUCUUGGACAAUGGGGGCAACCCUGAUCCAGCCAUGCCGCGUGAGCGAUGAAGGCCUUAGGGUUGUAAAGAUCUUUCAGCUGGGAAGAUAAUGACGGUACCAGCAGAAGAAGCCCCGGCUAACUCCGUG